UCUUCCAAUUGUUGGACCACAUACAAAUUGCAAUGUACAUACUCAUAAAUCAUAUAAAUCUGUGAAUUUAUUCCAUUAAAAUAAUUAUUCUUUUUUCCAGAGUCAAUUGGCAUCUGAUUGUAGUAAGUAACAAACAUUACUCUGCAUAUCUUGUUUGCCAUGUUCCUCAUAACAUAUUUUAAGUCAUGAUAUUUAGUCAUGUUUGCUCUUUUUUUGUGUGUGUCAACAGCAGCUACCUAUACCCCAAAGGCUCUUUUAAGAGCCCUUUCACAGAGCAUCUUUGGCUUUUUCAGCUAAAUAAACUGUUUUAAGUGCCCCUUACAGAACAUCAUUGGCAUUGUAAGUAUAUUGGCAAUUAAAUCAAAUUUAGGUCAAUUACAUUCACAUGAUGAUUGUUUUCUGCUGUUAAUAGACUUAAGACAUAGGCUAUCCAACUCUGCUUCAAUGUUACUUACUGAAACUCAUAUACAGUUAAGGUUAAAAGUUUACAUACUGGAAAAUGUUGCAAAUUUAGGAAAGACAAGAGGCAUUUUGAAAAUAAAGUUUUUUUUAUUAUGUACUGUCCUGAAUAUGUUAUUUUACAUAAAAUAUGUUUACAUAUAGUCAACAUCACAGAAUAACUAACUUAAC